rnacentral:rRNA from 1 species
CUACGGGCGGCUGCAGUGAGGAAUAUUGCACAAUGGGGGGAACCCUGAUGCAGCAACGCCGCGUGGAGGAUGACGCAUUUCGGUGUGUAAACUCCUUUUAUAUGUCAAGAAAACGACGGUAGCAUAUGAAUAAGCACCGGCUAACUCCGUGCCAGCAGCCGCGGUAAUACGGAGGGUGCAAGCGUUACUCGGAAUCACUGGGCGUAAAGGACGCGUAGGCGGGUUGGAAAGUCAGGUGUGAAAUCCUACAGCUUAACUGUAGAACUGCACUUGAAACUUCUAAUCUAGAGUAUGGGAGGGGGAGAUGGAAUUAGUGGUGUAGGGGUAAAAUCCGUAGAUAUCACUAGGAAUACCUAAAGCGAAGGCGAUCUACUAGAACAUUAUUGACGCUAAGGCGUGAAAGCGUGGGGAGCAAACAGGAUUAGAUACCCCAGUAGUC